rnacentral:rRNA from 1 species
UACGGAGGGUGCAAGCGUUGUCCGGAAUCACUGGGCGUAAAGGGCGCGUAGGCGGCCUGGUAAGUAGGGGGUGAAAUCUUGCGGCUCAACCGCAAGGCUGCCUCCUAAACUGCCGGGCUGGAGCACGGUAGAGGCAGAUGGAAUUCCCGGUGUAGCGGUGGAAUGCGUAGAGAUCGGGAAGAACAUCGGUGGCGAAGGCGGUCUGCUGGGCAGUUUCUGACACUGAGGCGCGACAGCGUGGGGAGCAAACAGG